rnacentral:rRNA from 1 species
CAGCAGCCGCGGGAAUACGAAGGGUGCAAGCGUUACUCGGAAUUACUGGGCGUAAAGCGUGCGUAGGUGGUGGUUUAAGUCCGUUGUGAAAGCCCUGGGCUCAACCUGGGAAUUGCAGUGGAUACUGGGUCACUAGAGUGUGGUAGAGGAUAGUGGAAUUUCCGGUGUAGCAGUGAAAUGCGUAGAGAUCGGAAGGAACAUCUGUGGCGAAGGCGACUAUCUGGGCCAUUACUGACACUGAGGCACGAAAGCGUGGGGAGCAAACAGGAUUAGAGACCCCCGUAGUCCCUGUCUCUUAUAC